rnacentral:rRNA from 1 species
AUUGAACGCUGGCGGCAUGCUUUACACAUGCAAGUCGAACGGCAGCGGGGGCUUCGGCCUGCCGGCGAGUGGCGAACGGGUGAGUAAUGCAUCGGAACGUGCCCAUGUCGUGGGGGAUAACUACGCGAAAGCGUGGCUAAUACCGCAUACGCCCUGAGGGGGAAAGCGGGGGAGCUUUCGGGACCUCGCGCGAUCGGAGCGGCCGAUGUCGGAUUAGCUAGUUGGUGGGGUAAAGGCUCACCAAGGCGACGAUCCGUAGCUGGUCUGAGAGGAUGAUCAGCCACACUGGGACUGAGACACGGCCCAGACUCCUACGGGAGGCAGCAGUGGGGAAUUUUGGACAAUGGGCGCAAGCCUGAUCCAGCCAUGCCGCGUGAGUGAAGAAGGCCUUCGGGUUGUAAAGCUCUUUCGGCCGGGAAGAAAUCGCAUUCUCUAAUAUAGGAUGUGGAUGACGGUACCGGACUAAGAAGCACCGGCUAACUACGUGCCAGCCGCCGCCGUAAUAC